rnacentral:rRNA from 1 species
CCAACGGGUGAGUAACGCGUGGAUGACCUGCCCUUUAGUGGGGAACAACCAGGGGAAACUCUGGCUAAUACCCCAUAAGACCGAAAGGUGAAAGGGGGCCGCAAGGCUCUCGCUGAAGGAGGGGUCCGCGUCCGAUUAGCUAGUUGGUAGGGUAAUGGCCUACCAAGGCGACGAUCGGUAGCCGGCCUGAGAGGGUGAUCGGCCACACUGGAACUGAGACACGGUCCAGACUCCUACGGGAGGCAGCAGUAGGGAAUAUUGGUCAAUGGGUGAGAGCCUGAACCAGCCAUGCCGCGUGCAGGAAGACGGCCUUCUGGGUUGUAAACUGCUUUUGCCAGGGGCUAAAAAGUCCAUGCGUGGAAAAAUUGAAAGUACCUGGUGAAUAAGCCACGGCUAACUACGUGCCANCAGCCGCGGUAAUACGUAGGUGGCAAGCGUUGUCCGGAUUUAUUGGGUUUAAAGGGUGCGUAGGCGGCUCUGUAAGUCAGUGCUGAAAUAUCCCGGCUUAACUGGGAGGGUGGCCAUUGAUACUGUGGGGCUAGAGUACAGAUGAGGUAGGCGGAAUUGACGGUGUAGCGGUGAAGUGCUUAGAUAUCGUCAAGGACACCUAUAGCGAAGGCAGCUUACUAGGCUGUAACUGACGCUGAGGCACGAAAGUGUGGGGAUCAAACAGGAUUAGAUACCCUGGUAGUCCACACUGUAAACGUUGAUUACUCGCUGUGUGCGAUAUACAGUACGCGGCCAAGCGAAAGCGCUAAGUAAUCCACCUGGGGAGUACGCCGGCAACGGUGAAACUCAAAGGAAUUGACGGGGGCCCGCACAAGCGGUGGAGCAUGUGGUUUAAUUCGAAGCAACGCGAAGAACCUUACCAGCCCUUGACAUGGCAGGACGAUUUCCGGAGACGGAUCUCUUCACUUCGGUGACCUGCACACAGGUGCUGCAUGGCUGUCGUCAGCUCGUGUCGUGAGAUGUUGGGGUUAAGUCCCUUAACGAGCGAAACCCUUACCUUUAGUUACUACGGGUCAUGCCGAGGACUCUAAAGGGACUGCCGGUGUCAAACCGGAGGAAGGGGGGAUGACGUCAAGUCCUCAUGGCCUUUACG